rnacentral:rRNA from 1 species
GCUUGCUUCUCUUGAGAGCGGCGGACGGGUGAGUAAUGCCUAGGAAUCUGCCUGGUAGUGGGGGAUAACGUCCGGAAACGGACGCUAAUACCGCAUACGUCCUACGGGAGAAAGCAGGGGACCUUCGGGCCUUGCGCUAUCAGAUGAGCCUAGGUCGGAUUAGCUAGUUGGUGGGGUAAUGGCUCACCAAGGCGACGAUCCGUAACUGGUCUGAGAGGAUGAUCAGUCACACUGGAACUGAGACACGGUCCAGACUCCUACGGGAGGCAGCAGUGGGGAAUAUUGGACAAUGGGCGAAAGCCUGAUCCAGCCAUGCCGCGUGUGUGAAGAAGGUCUUCGGAUUGUAAAGCACUUUAAGUUGGGAGGAAGGGCAGUAAAUUAAUACUUUGCUGUUUUGACGUUACCGACAGAAUAAGCACCGGCUAACUCUGUGCCAGCAGCCGCGGUAAUACAGAGGGUGCAAGCGUUAAUCGGAAUUACUGGGCGUAAAGCGCGCGUAGGUGGUUCGUUAAGUUGGAUGUGAAAUCCCCGGGCUCAACCUGGGAACUGCAUUCAAAACUGACGAGCUAGAGUAUGGUAGAGGGUGGUGGAAUUUC